rnacentral:tRNA from 2 species
GCGGGCGUCGCCAAGUGGUAAGGCAUCAGCCUUCCAAGCUGACAUUCGCCGGUCCGAAUCCGGUCGCCCGCU